UACUAGAGUAGCACUCGCAUAUCAAUAAGCGGAGGAAAAGAAACUAACAAGGAUUCCCCUAGUAACGGCGAGUGAAGCGGGAAGAGCUCAAAUUUGAAAUCUUAAAGGGUUUCCCUUUACGAAUUGUAGUUUAAAGAAGUGUUUUCUGUUGAGGUUUUGGUAAAAGUUCUUUGGAAUAGGACAUCGUAGAGGGUGAGAAUCCCGUAUUUGACCUUUACUUUCAACUUUGUGAUACACUUUCAAAGAGUCGGAUUGUUUGGGAAUGCAGUCCAAAAUGGGUGGUAAAUUUCAUCUAAAGCUAAAUAUUGGCGAGAGACCGAUAGCGAACAAGUACCGUGAGGGAAAGAUGAAAAGAACUUUGAAAAGAGAGUUAAACAGUACGUGAAAUUGUCAAAAGGGAAGCGUUUGACACCAGUGUUGUUUUUCUGAAAAUCAAUUAAAGAACUGUUUAUGCUAAGUUGUUUAGACUUUAUCAGCUAACUGUUUAGUUUUGAGCUUUUCUUUAAUGCACUUUUCAGUUAACAAGUCAACAUCAAUUUCUUUUGCUGUAAAAAAGCUUGAGGAAGGUGGCUUGAGAUUCGUCUUAAGUGUUUAUAGCCUCUUGCCUAUGCAGUCGGAGAGAUUGAGGUCUGCAGCGUAGAUCCUUCGGGGCUAAAUGCAUUUGUGCUAAGUUAUAGCAUUUUAUAGACAACUUGUUGACUAUGAUUUGUCUUGUAGCUUACUCGCUUAUGUUAUUUUACCUACGCUUAGGAUGUUGAGCGCAUGUCUCUCUCU
rnacentral:rRNA from 1 species